rnacentral:rRNA from 1 species
CCUACGGGUGGCAGCAGUCGAGAAUCUUCGGCAAUGGGCGCAAGCCUGACCGAGCGACGCCGCGUGUGGGAUGAAGGCCCUUGGGUUGUAAACCACUGUCAGAGGGGAUGAAGUGCCAGCCAGUAAUCUGGUUGGUUUGACAUAGCCUCAGAGGAAGCACGGGCUAAGUUCGUGCCAGCAGCCGCGGUAAUACGAACUGUGCGAACGUUAUUCGGAAUCGGGGGGCUUACAGGGUGCGUAAGCGGCCUGUGAAAGCCCCCGGCUCAACCGGGGAAUGGCGCCCUAAACUGGCGGGCUGGAGUGAGAUAGGGGUGUGCGGAACUUCCGGUGGAGCGGUGAAAUGUGUUGAUAUCGGAAGGAACGCCGGUGGCGAAAGCGGCACACUGGAUCUCAACUGACGCUGAGGCACGAAAGCCAGGGGAGCGAACGGGAUUAGAUACCCCUGUAGUC